rnacentral:rRNA from 1 species
ACUCCUACGGGAGGCAGCAGUGGGGAAUAUUGGACAAUGGGGGAACCCGUAGCAUCCAGCCAUGCCGCGUGUGUGAAGAAGGCCUUAUGGUUGUAAAGCACUUUAAGCGAGGAGGAGGCUACUAGUAUUAAUACUACUGGAUAGUGGACGUUACUCGCAGAAUAAGCACCGGCUAACUCUGUGCCAGCAGCCGCGGUAAUACAGAGGGUGCGAGCGUUAAUCGGAUUUACUGGGCGUAAAGCGUGCGUAGGCGGCCAUUUAAGUCAAAUGUGAAAUCCUCGAGCUUAACUUGGGAAUUGCAUUCGAUACUGGAUGGCUAGAGUAUGGGAGAGGAUGGUAGAAUUCCAGGUGUAGCGGUGAAAUGCGUAGAGAUCUGGAGGAAUACCGAUGGCGAAGGCAGCCAUCUGGCCUAAUACUGACGCUGAGGUACGAAAGCAUGGGGAGCAAACAGGAUUAGAUACCCUGGUAGGUCAGU